UACGGAGGGGCUAGCGUUGUUCGGAAUUACUGGGCGUAAAGCGCACGUAGGCGGCUUUGUAAGUUAGAGGUGAAAGCCCGGAGCUCAACUCCGGAAUUGCCUUUAAGACUGCAUCGCUAGAAUUGUGGAGAGGUGAGUGGAAUUCCGAGUGUAGAGGUGAAAUUCGUAGAUAUUCGGAAGAACACCAGUGGCGAAGGCGACUCACUGGACACAUAUUGACGCUGAGGUGCGAAAGCGUGGGGAGCAAACAGG
rnacentral:rRNA from 1 species